UACGGAGGGUGCAAGCGUUAUCCGGAUUUACUGGGUUUAAAGGGUGCGUAGGUGGGCAGGUAAGUCAGUGGUGAAAUCUCCGAGCUUAACUCGGAAACUGCCAUUGAUACUAUCUGUCUUGAAUAUCCUGGAGGUAAGCGGAAUAUGUCAUGUAGCGGUGAAAUGCUUAGAUAUGACAUAGAACACCAAUUGCGAAGGCAGCUUACUACGGGAUUAUUGACACUGAGGCACGAAAGCGUGGGGAGCAAACAGG
rnacentral:rRNA from 1 species